UACAGAGGUCUCAAGCGUUGUUCGGAUUCAUUGGGCGUAAAGGGUGCGUAGGCGGUCUGUUGCGUCCGCUGUGAAAACCCGGGGCUUAACCCCUGGCUUGCAGUGGAUACGGACAGACUAGAGGUAGGUAGGGGAGAAUGGAAUUCCAGGUGUAGCGGUGAAAUGCGUAGAUAUCUGGAGGAACACCGGUGGCGAAGGCGGCAUCCUGGACCAACACUGACGCUGAGGAGCGAAAGCCAGGGGAGCAAACGGG
rnacentral:rRNA from 1 species